GACUGAACAUAAAUUCCACUUAAAUGUUUACAUACUGAAUUGUCUAGCAUCACGAAUUCUUUUUAUGUCUUCUCUCUUUAUUCCUGACCUAAUUUAAUCUUUGUUUUUGAGAAGUAUUGUUUAAGGGAUAUGGUUUGGAAUCACAUUUCUACCAAUGCUAAAGCUUUUAUAUGACAUCAAACGAUUUUGCAUGAGUAUGUUAAUUGAUUAUUUUUUUGGAAAUUUGUAUGAUAAUAAAGGAUUCAAUUGCCAUAUUGAUGUAUCGCAACUGGCUGAAUGGUAUAUUACACAGUCAUAUUUAUUUCAAACUAUGAAAUUACCCAAAAAACAAAACAUAAUUAAGUGAUUAUAGCCAUUAAAAAGCUUUUUCCAAACUUCGCAUGUUUCAAACCGAAAACUUUCGCUAUAUUUAAUGCAAGAAGAUAAUUCGGAUUUAUUAAUAUUGGAGCUAUUGUCGAAAUGUUAAGCAAAACUGCUAUACACACUUAGUGAGAAAAAUUUGAUCAUUUUUCAUUUGUUUACGAUACCUUACAUAACUGGGGUUUCAUUAUAUUGCAAGUUUAUUUCGUCUACCUCAGGAUGAAUGUGUUGGAUUCUCAAAUUGAGGUCCUUCAGUUUGGUUCAACAGUUUUUUUUCAUUAAUACUUCGUUUUUAAGAUGGUCGUAUAAUUAAUUAUUGACUGCCGCAAUCGAUUCGUUUGUUUUAAUGUUUAACAAAAUAUUGUUACUUCAAAUUUUCUAACAAGUACCUCGAUUGUGUAAUAUAACUACCAAACUAAAAUAUUUAAUACAAUGUGCUAGUUAUGUUUGGUGACUAUAGCAAUAUCACUUAAAAUGGGUGAUAUAUCUUCAUAACGAAGUUUGGUGUUUUCAGAGAUGACCGAUC